AGAGUUUGAUCCUGGCUUAGGAUGAACGCUGGCGGCGUGCUUAAUACAUGCAAGUCGAACGGAGAUAGUAGCAAUAUUAUCUUAGUGGCGAACGGGUGAGUAACGCGUUGGUGACCUGCCCCGAAGAGAGGGAUAGCAGUUCGAAAGGACUGAUAAUACCUCAUGUGGUUGAGGGUUCUAGAAUCCCUUAACUAAACGGAUUUAUUCGCUUCGGGAGGGGCCUGCGUCCCAUCAGCUAGUUGGUAGGGUAAUGGCCUACCAAGGCGAUGACGGGUAGGGGACCUGAGAGGGUGGCCCCCCACAAUGGAACUGAAACACGGUCCAUACACCUACGGGUGGCAGCAGUAGGGAAUAUUGGUAAUGUGCGAAAGCGCGAACCAAGCAACGCCGCGUGAGCGAUGAAGGCCUUCGGGUUGUAAAGCUCUUUUAGAGAGGAUGAGGAAGGACAGUACUUUCUGAAUAAGCCUCGGCUAACUACGUGCCAGCCGCCGC
rnacentral:rRNA from 1 species